GACGAACGCUGGCGGCGUGCUUAACACAUGCAAGUCGAACGGAAAGGCCCUGCUUUUGUGGGGUGCUCGAGUGGCGAACGGGUGAGUAACACGUGAGUAACCUGCCCUUGACUUUGGGAUAACUUCAGGAAACUGGGGCUAAUACCGGAUAGGAGCUCCUGCUGCAUGGUGGGGGUUGGAAAGUUUCGGCGGUUGGGGAUGGACUCGCGGCUUAUCAGCUUGUUGGUGGGGUAGUGGCUUACCAAGGCUUUGACGGGUAGCCGGCCUGAGAGGGUGACCGGCCACAUGGGGACUGAGAUACGGCCCAGACUCCUACGGGAGGCAGCAGUGGGGAGUAUUGCACAAUGGGCGGAAGCCUGAUGCAGCAACGCCGCGUGCGGGAUGACGGCCUUCGGGUUGUAAACCGCUUUCGCCUGUGACGAAGCGUGAGUGUCGGUAAUGGGUAAAGAAGCACCGGCUAACUACGUG
rnacentral:rRNA from 1 species